CAAAGUAUGAAGUGAAGAAGAACAAAGAAAGAACAAAACCUAGGUGGGAAAAUUGAAGAAAAAGUGUGGGAUUUCAAGGGAUUAAGCUAAUAAAGGUCAAAUUUUGUGAUUUUAUCUUGUGAUUUACACUACCCAUGCUUUCUUUUUCAUUUUCCAUGCUUAGAACUCAAGUUUUCAUGAUGAACCCAUGCUGGCCAAAUUUGAGAGGAGAGGUUUUGAGCACUGAUUUUGCUAGAUUUCAAGUUAAUUAAGUGUUUUUGGUUGUUUAGUAAUGGAAAGUAUGAAAAUCUAGCAAGAAAUCACUUUGUUCUUCACAAACCCACAAGAGGCUGAAUUUUUUAGGGAGGAUAUUAAGGCUGAAAUUAAUGAUAUUUCAUGAUAUUUUGGUGGUAUUUAAUGAUUGGUGAGGCUAGAAAUUUAAUGGAAAAUUUUGGCAUGAAAAUCUGAAUUUUUACCUAAUGUAUAGACAUGUGCGAUUUAUGGUUCGGACUGAUAAAUUGAAUUAUAUUCACAGUCAUUGAGGUAUUCUAAGUAUAAUUGGAGUGUACAAAGUGAAAGAAAUCGAUUUGGAGUUAAAUUGGAGGUUUUAGCCAAUUAUACCGAGAAUAGUGCGAAUUAGGUCGAAUACCGUAUUUAAACGACUAUUCGAAUAUUUUUGCAUUCCAUAUCAUGUAUUAGUAGUCUAAAUUAGUUUAAUUUCAAUUUAGUACCAAUGUAGUAAGUUUCUCGAUUUUGUACUAUGUUUAGGUGGUGAAUCCUCCGAUAAAGGCAAGGAAAUUGUACUGGAGGAUCGAUAGUCAGAAUACUCUAGAAAUUUGACUCUCGAUGUAAAACUCGACCCUAUAAACACAUGUCAUGACAUACAUGCACUGAGUAGCAUGUUAUUACGCUAGGAAAGUCCUAAGAAUAGACGAAACCCGAUAUUAUACCUAAUGGUACACUUGAGUUUAUUUAACCUCGAACUAGUUCAAAUAGGAAUCGUUGGAUGAAAUUUAAUAUUUUACAGUCCAAGAAUGACUAAAAAUGAUUGUUUAGAGUUCGAGGGUUCAUUUGGAGAAAAAUAAAAAAUUUUGAUGUUUAGGGGCAAAAUCAUCAUUUUGCCACCUAAGAUAAUAAUUUGAUCAUGGAGUGAAAUUUUUGACCAAGAUUAACUAUUUGGAGUAUAAUUUAAUGAUAGGAAGUGAAAAAGUUUAAUUUUGGUGAUUUCUGGAGUGUAGGGGCAAAAUCGUAAUUUUGCCACUCGCGGAUAAAAUUUGAGAUUUUGAGAGAAUUUAGAUCAAAUUUGACAAAUUGGAGAAUGGUAUGAGUAUAAGGGAUGAAGAAUAUGUCUAUGGGCAAUUUUUCAAUUUUUGGGGUAAAAAUGUAAUUUUUCACUUUUACGGGGGUAAAAGUGUAAAUUUCAAAAAUUACUCCACCAAUACUUUGGAUAAGUCUGAGAAAUUUAUCUAAGCUAUGGAUAUGUGGGACAAGCGUAUGGUGAAAAUUUGGAAACAAAUGGAUGAAAUUUUAAAAACAGGCCAAUGGGAAAGUGACGCAUGGCACUUUUUAUUGAUUUAAUAUUAUUUUAAUGAAAAGUCAGCCCAUUUAAACCCCAUAUAAAGUGCUGGUAGGCCAUAAGGAAAGAACAAGAGAGAAAAUAGAGAGGAAAGGAAGAAAAGAAAAAAACAAAGGAAAACUAGAAAAUUCAAAGGGGAAAUCGCGUUUUUCGUUCGUUUACGCUUCUAACGGUAAGAUUUUUCGAUUCUAGCUUGAUUUCUACCUUUCCUAUGCCUUUAUUUCCUUUAAGCAUGCUUGAGGAGAGAGAUCAAAAAGUGAAACCAAGGGCUGGCCGAAAUUCUAGGGGAGAGAUUUUGGAAUUUUUAGGUUUUGAUUUUUAGUUAAAUUGGUAGUUUUAGUUAGUUAAAUGUGUAUAGAAAUUAAAUUGGGCAAGAAAGCAUGAAAUUUUCACAAUACCCACCCUUGGCUGAAUAUGCAUUGAUGUACAAUGAUGAUGAACUGAUUUUUAUUCUAAGAGAAAUGAAGAGAAAAUGAUGAAAAAUGGUUAAAUGUGAUAGAAAAACAAAGUGAAAAAUUAACCGAGUAAAUGUCCCAUUUUUGACCGAAUUUUCCAAGGAGGAAAGUGAGCUGAUUUUGGUGAUUUUAGAAGGUUAUUGGCUGAUAUUUAAUGGUUAGAAAUGUUGGAGAGAAAAUGGGACAAUUUAGAGCUAAAAUGGAGCGCGUUAGCAAUUUAACGGGUAAAGUGCCAAAAAUAGGUUAAUACCGCGUUUAAGCCGUUUUAGGCUAUUGCAUUUCAUACCAUGCAUUAGUAUAGGAUUUAAGUCAAUUAUAUAGAGAUUUAACAUCAAUGUGGUGAAUUGGGUAAAUUUUGCAAUGUGUUUAGGAUGAGAGCCUUCCGGUAAAGGCAAGGAAGUCGUACUUGACGAACAGUGAUCGGGGCACUCAAAAAAUCAGUUAAUUUGUACAAACGGUGAGUAAACCUAUUAUUAUUGUAAAUUAUCUAGAGUUCAUUUUUAAAUACUCUUUAUGUAUUUUAUGAAAUGAAAACGAGAUUAAAACGAGAUUUUUGAUGUUUUAGAAAUAAAUGUGACAAAUAAAAAUAUAUUGUGUUGAUUACGAAAUUGAGUAAUUGGAGGUUGCCAAUUAUUUUGAAAUAUAUAUUUUCCUAUGAAUGGCUUAUGAAAUAUGAGUAUAUGUGGCUAUAUUUGAUAAAUUGCAUUGGGAAUUUAUGUAAGCUGUUUUUACUAUGCAGGCUGGGUAAAUAAAUAAAAGCCACGUUAUAUUGUCGAAAUUUUAUUAAAAUUGAUGGGUUUAGUCACUGCAGUGACGGGUUUCCGUGGACUGCCUAUUAGAGGGGCACGGUAAACUCGGUUACAUAAUUACUCCGGUUGUAGAGGCGAGGAGGGUAACUCUCGGGGUAGUAUUAGAGUUCACUUCACGUCGAACCCCCACGUGAAUGUGUAACUCGGCCAACGCCAAGGAACGGCUUGUUUUAAAAAUAAAAAUGUCUUUCAUAUGUAAAUAUCAUAACUACCUUGGCAGACUAGGUUAGAUGCCUCGACCAAGGUAUCCCCGAGGAUUAAUUUUGGCUUGAGCCUUGUUUUAAUAAAAGUCAUAAGCCUUAACAACUAUUUGGGUAAAUUAUAAAUAUUUUAUGGUUUAAGAAAUAAAUUAAAAACCUUAUGAAAUGGUUUGUGAUUUGUUGUUUAAACUUGCCUCCAUUUUACUUGCCUUUAGAAAUUUAUGAUAAUGUCUGUUUACUCAUUGGGAUUGCAAAAUCUCACCCACCUCCUUUCCAAACAUUUUAGGUCUGUGGUAGCUUCUAGAUACCCUAUUUUGUCGAGGAUUCCAGUUGACCACUCUAUCACACAGACAGUAGGUUACUAUCACCAACAAUUGGUGUAGUUAUGGGCCACUUGUCAUUGUAAUUAUUAUUGUACAUUAUAACUUUGUAAAUUAUUGUAUGUAUGAAUUUAUUUUACUUCUAAGUUACAAAAGAUUACUUACACCUGUUUCUAUAAAUAUUGUUUUAUAUAAAAAUACUAUAUUUUUGUCUUUGAUUUACUUGAGCCGGAAACGAUUGAAAAUUGUUUAAAACUGAUAUGUAAGCCUUGCGGGGUUCCGAUUGGUAUUUCGGGUAAUGAGUAUCAAUCGAGACGUCGCGGCGGUUGUCAUGGGCCCGAAGGAGGUUCCGGGUCGUGACACCCGAAAUAGUGAGUAACCUUAUAAUCAUUUUAAUUAUCUAAAGUAUGUUUUAACUUGGUUUUGGUGAAAUUUUAUGAAAAUGAGUUAAAUGGCUAAUUUUAGGUUUUGCAAACAAAAAUGGGUUUAAAUGAAAAGUUUUUAUAAAUUGUCUUGAAACGAAAUAACGAUUUUGAAACUAGAGUAAUUGGAGACCACCGGUAUGUUGUAAAUUUAUGAUUGGAAAUUAAUGGCUUAUGUUAUAUUGUUAUUAUGUUGGCAUGACUGGCUGGGCUGUGUUUUAUGAAUUGUAUGAAUUGUUUUAUUUUACCCUUGUAGGCUGGGUAGUAAAAUAUUAUCCCUGUCAUGCUGUCAAAAAUUUUAUUGUAUGGUGGGUUUAGCUUGCUGCAAUAGGCGGAUUCUAUGGACCAGCCUAUUAGAAGGGCACGGAAUCCGGAUAUAUAUAUGUACCUCGGUCUGAGAGGCGCAUAGGGUAUCUCCUGAGGUAUGGACAGAGUUCACGUCACGCCGAACCACCUCGUGAUGAUGAACUCCGUUAACACCAAGGAACGACUGUGUUUUUCAAACUAAUAAAUUGUUUACAUGUAUACGAAAUUUUUAACAGCCUUGGCGAACUCGGUUAGAUGCCUCGACCAAGGUAUCCUCGAGAAUGAUUUUGGCAGGAGCCAAGCUUUUAAGAUACUCAUAAGUCAUGUUGAAUAUUUAAAUGAAAUGAAUAUUUAUGUUAUGAAAUACAUAUUGAGAUGAAAUAUUUUAAUUGUCUCCUUUUACUCGACUUUAGAUAUUUCGGAUGAUGUUUGUUUACUCACUGGGAUUAUAAAAUCUCAUCACUCUCUUUUCCACCCAUUUCAGGUUCAGAUUAGGCUGUAGAUAGCUGAGUUCAUCGAGGACUACCCUUGGAUUUGCAUUCCUUCAAACUGUAGGUUCACAGUCCUCUUUACUUUUGGUUAUUCGGGGGCCCACUUGUUAUUGUAAAUUAAAUUAAAUACUCUAACUUACUGUAUUACAGUAUGUAUGAAUUUAUUUA
rnacentral:lncRNA from 1 species